AACUUCUGGAUGACAGCAAGUAAGGUGGGGGAGGUGAUAAUUCUGAUGGAAACUCCCAAAGGAAUCCCAUUGAGACAAGAGGCAAUGUGCUGCAGUGGAGAAAGGGAAGCAUCUCAUGGAAAAGGAAUCAGAUUUGGAGUCACAGGUCCUGAAUGUGAAUCCUCCUACCACCACUUAACCCCUCUGGGCCUCAGUUUACUCAUCUGUCAGCCUCAGUUUCCUCAUCUGUCAAAUGAUCCAGAGAAGAAAUCAGCAAACCACUCUAGUAUCUUGGCCAAGAAAACCUCAAAUGGAGCCAUGAAGAGUCAGACGCGACUGAACAACAGCCGAGGUGGACGGGGGAAGCCACUUGCUCAGUGUUAUACAACUUAGCCACGAGAAGAGGAGAAGCAGAGAUAUGUCAUGAGGAGGAGAGCAUUGGAUUUUGCAUUAAGGGACACGGGUUCAGAUUCCAUCUUGGUCACUUAUUCCAUGUAUAACCUUGGGCAAGUUACCCAAACAUUCCAGGCCUUGUUUCCUCCUUCCCUCCUCUGGGAAAUGAAGGGUCCAGCUUUAAUUUCUGCUGUUCUCCUGAUCUGAAGAAAUACGCUUUGAAUGUGAGCUGGGAGAUCUAGGAGAGAGAAGAGGCAUUGGGAAAGACGUUGGGGAAGUUCACCAUCUUGUCUUUCAAAGCAUCAGAAGAGAGCCUUGAACACCUGUUCCAGGUGACCUCCCAGACCGCUGAGCAGAGAAUAUCAGGGAGUGUCUUGACUUGAAAGGGGAUUUCCUUCCCGAGCUGAACCACAUGGGGUCUUUUCCCUUAUAGCCAGAGAAUGACAGCCUUGCAAGCAAUUUUUUCCUCCUUGCAAUAUUUCUUCCUUCUUUUUCAGAGCCAACAUUAGCAGGACUUGUAGUGAUAUACAGACACAACAAGCUGUCUUUGGAGGUGUGCUGACUCUGUGAGAUAGUGGAGUCAGAGAACUGGGUUCCUGCCUCCCUUCUGAUACUUCCUAUAUGACUUUGGACCAGUCACUUGUCCCUGGUCCCAGUUUCAUCAGCUGGAAAAUGGUCUAAACCUAUGAUCCUGUGAUCUCCCUGGCCCUCGGUUUCUUUGUUUGUAAAAUGAGAAAGUUGGACAAGAUGGCUUAAAUCUAUGAUCCAUAACCUCCCUGAGCCUCAGUUUCCUUCUCUGUGAAGUGUGGGGAUCAGAUGAAAUGUCCUCUAAGGUCCCUUCUAGCUCUCAAAUUCCCCCACCUCCUUCCCUCUAAGCACUUCGGCUUCUCUCCCCUGCAGGUUUCUUGAAACCUGUUUUCCAAAGUUCCCUUCCUCCCCUAAGAAAACAGGAGUCUGGGAAGAAGUCUGGAGCCCUCUCCGAGAACAUUAGGAGGCAGAA
rnacentral:lncRNA from 1 species